GUGUAUCAAAGUGAAAAGCGCUCAUUUGUUAGCUGCGAGAGAUAAAACUUGUGGUUGUAUGCCUAUCCUGAGGACUAAGAAAAAGGAAGAUUAAAUUUCAGGAGGACGAAAGCUGUUUGACCUUUUGUGACUCAAGCUUGACGACACUUUAACAAAUUCACGGGUCGUCGUAUCGUAACGAAGUCGGUUACUCUAUCCUUUAGACAUUUUUUUCGUGAGCGUUGGAUUAUGAUCGGGAAAAAGGUUAUAUCUCAUAAGCUCGACAAGUCUUCAUCAUCCUGGCAACGCAAAUUGAGCCUCCGGGGUGUCGUCAAGGUGAAAAUUGGAGAAUACCGCAAAGAUGGCUCCUCAUUUCGGGGAUAUAUUUAGCAAAGUCAACUAUAAUUUAUCUUAUCCUAUUAUAUUUUCCAUAACAACAAGAUGGAAUACUUUCGAUUGAAGUAACAACAAUGUUUCAUGUUAAUUAUGAUGUAACGUAUCCUGCUUUGUUGUUAGGAGAACCGUUGAUCGUAAGACUAUGAAUUAUUUCUUGUUGGGAAAUAUUACAUAAGCAACUUCAUCAGUGGCGCGAAAUCGUAGAUUCUAUUACUUUUAUUUUCUAAAUAUAUCUAUAAUGCUUAGUCGCAAUCUCAUUGAAUCAAUUUCAUUGUUUAUUGGUUCCAAUAAAUCCUACGAAUUAACUUACUUAUAGAUUACUUAAGAUACUUGAUAUUGUUAUUUUUUGGGUACAAAUAUUUUACACGGUUACUCAAUGCCAAAAUACUAAAAAUAGCGGUGUUGAAACAUUUUUUAUUACUAACACAAAACCGAAAUAUAUUCCCGAAAAUUAACAUAAUGACGAAAAUGUUUCAGCUAUUUUUAUUGUAGACAUAGUAGGUGGUUCUGUUAAUCAAUAGUAAAAAAUAAUAAAAAAAUAUUUACCAACAAUCAAGUAAUAAAUUCACAUUUUUGUAAGUCUUGAUAA